GCACUGUGGAUGUGGGCUGUAGCAA
rnacentral:misc_RNA from 1 species